GCCUAGAAGAGGAAGAAAGAGAGGGCCUAACAGCAGUGGGAAUGGGAAUGUGGGGGAAAGCCUAGCCUGAUUGUUUCCUCAUCGAGGGAUAGUGGAAGCUUGGUUUGGUGCCCUAUCCUUCCCAUUCCUAUUGUUCUUAAGCGUUCUUUCCUCUUCCUUUUGGCU
rnacentral:pre_miRNA from 1 species